rnacentral:rRNA from 1 species
CUGUAGCUGGUCUGAGAGGAUGGCCAGCCACACUGGAACUGAGACACGGUCCAGACUCCUACGGGAGGCAGCAGUGGGGAAUAUUGGACAAUGGGGGCAACCCUGAUCCAGCCAUGCCGCGUGUGUGAAGAAGGCCUUCGGGUUGUAAAGCACUUUAAGCGAGGAGGAAGGUUUACUAGCUAAUACCUAGUAGAAUUGACGUUACUCGCAGAAUAAGCACCGGCUAACUCUGUGCCAGCAGCCGCGGUAAUACAGAGGGUGCAAGCGUUAAUCGGAAUUACUGGGCGUAAAGCGCGCGUAGGCGGUAUGUUAAGUCGGAUGUGAAAUCCCUGGGCUCAACCUAGGCACUGCAUCCGAUACUGGCACACUAGAGUGUGGGAGAGGAAGGUAGAAUUCCAGGUGUAGCGGUGAAAUGCGUAGAGAUCUGGAGGAAUACCGAUGGCGAAGGCAGCCUUCUGGCCUAACACUGACGCUGAGGUGCGAAAGCAUGGGGAGCAAACAGGAUUAGAUACCCUGGUAGUCCAUGCUGUAAACGAUGUCAACUAGCCGUUGGGAGCCUUGAGCUUUUAAUGGCGUAGCUAACGCGAUAAGUUGACCGCCUGGGGAGUACGGUCGCAAGACUAAAACUCAAAUGAAUUGACGGGGGCCCGCACAAGCGGUGGAGCAUGUGGUUUAAUUCGAUGCAACGCGAAGAACCUUACCUGGCCUUGACAUGUCUGGAAUCUUGCAGAGAUGCGAGAGUGCCUUCGGGAAUCAGAACACAGGUGCUGCAUGGCUGUCGUCAGCUCGUGUCGUGAGAUGUUGGGUUAAGUCCCGCAACGAGCGCAACCCUUUUCUUUAUUUGCCAGCACGUAAUGGUGGGAACUCUAAAGAUACUGCCGGUGACAAACCGGAGGAAGGCGGGGACGACGUCAAGUCAUCAUGGCCCUUACGGCCAGGGCUACACACGUGCUACAAUGGUUGGUACAGAGGGUUGCUAAGCCGCGAGGCCACGCUAAUCUCACAAAGCCAAUCGUAGUCCAGAUUGGAGUCUGCAACUCGACUCCAUGAAGUCGGAAUCGCUAGUAAUCGCGGAUCAGAAUGCCGCGGUGAAUACGUUCCCGGGCCUUGUACACACCGCCCGUCACACCAUGGGAGUUUGUUGCACCAGAAGUAGUUAGCCUAACCGCAAGGAGGGCGAUUACCACGGUGUGGCCAAUGACUGGGGUGAAGUCGUAACAAGGUA